rnacentral:lncRNA from 1 species
UGAGUUUAGGUGUACAAGAACAUGAGAUGAUAAAUAGGAAUAUACAUCACUGUUAGAUGAUUAUAAUCAUACAUCAAAUUUUUAUUGUCAUUGCUUUGGGAACAUACAGGUUAGUGUGGGAACAUUGCUGGCAUUUAUCACUGUUGCAGUUUCGGUUUUGAUAAUCAGAUAUGUCCCACCUGAUGAGGUACCUAUUCCAUCUUCACUUCAAACAUCUGUUGAUCGGUUAGCGAGGCAUUCCGGUGGUGGUAUUGAGGAAGACCAGGCCAUAAGUCCUGUUGAUCCUGCUAGUUAUUGUGAGAAUAUUCACCUGCAUGACAAGUCAGAAGCUUUGCUUGGACAUCCUUUAAUCAUAAAAGAAGUAACUAAUGGUAAUUAUUGUUUAAACUUUCUGUCCUUUUUAUGUAAUGAAUUUAGAUAAACUUUAGAAUCUAGAUGUAUCUUCUAUUCAUCAUGUGGAUAUAUAACUACAAGACCUCCUGUGCUGGUUAAUGAGUUUGGUGACAUGGGGUUGGAUAUGUAAAUUAGUUAGGGUGAUUAGAAAUAUAGAUGGUAAACUACUUGUAAUGCUAGGUUAUCAGUCUUGUGUUUUCUUAGCAAGCAUAAUAAUUUUAGAGUUUCCAAAGAAUACAUUAGGUCAUUUUCUUGCUUGAACACAUUAUUGCAUUUUGCUUAACUUUCUACAUCUAUGAUUAGGGAUUUUGGAGGUAGUGCCCCUCUAUCCUGUGAUUCAAUGAUGGUCCAUAAUUAUGGCCCUCUUAACUUAAAAAUCUAGUCCAUUUAGGGAUUGGCUCAAAAGAGUGAAAAGACUAUUUUGAAGGCUCAAUAGAGUAUGUACUAAUGCUCACAUUUGAAUUAUAUUUUUCCAUAUCAUGCUUUUUGUGGAUGAUAUUGUCCUAUUUGGAGAUACAAGAGAGAAAUUAAAUGGGAAACUAGAAAUGUAGAGACAAACUUUAAAAGCACAUGACUUUCGUAUAAGUCAAAGUAAGACAAAGUAUAAGUUUAGCAAGAGGUGGACAAACCCUACUGUGUAGGUAAAGACAUAAGAUCAUACCAUACCACAAGUCAUUAGCUUUAAGCAUCUUGAGUCAAUCUUACAACACAAUGGUAAAAUUGACGAGAUGUAAACCAUAGGAUUCAAGCGGGGUGAAUGAAUUGGUUGAGUGCGAUAGUAAGGUCUCACUCAAGCUUAAGAGGAAGUUUUACCACUUGGUUAUAAAACCUGCAGUGUUAUAUGUGACUAUAUGUUGGACGGUAAAAUGUUCAGAAGAAUAAUUAAUCCAUGUAGCAGAGAUGAGAAUAUUGUGUUAGAUGAGUGAACAUACUAAACAAAAUAGGAUUUGAAAUGGAUACAUUAGGAAAAAAGUUGGAGUAGCUCCUAUUGUAGAACACAUGGUAGACUGUGCGUUAGGUUAUUCGAACAUGUAUAGAGGAUACCAUUAGAAGCCUAAAGAAGAAGAGUGGAUCAAAUGGAGGUUAAUCUAAUUUCUAGAGGAAAAGUGAAGCCAAGAAAAACCAUAAGCAAAACGAUUGCGAAAGAUUUAGAGAUUAAUGCUGUCAAUGAACAUGAUUCAUGAUAGAGCAUUAUGGCUUUGUUCGAUCCAUAUAGCCAACCUCACCUAGUGAGACUAAAGCUUGGUUAUUGUUGUUGUACAGUUUUGAAAUUUUAAUCUCUUUCACACACUUAAUUUCAAUUUUGGCAAACAAAUUUUCUGUGAUAAAGUUUUGGUUUUCUUUGCAUCAACUUCUUAUUCUGUGAUGUGCUAGUUGAUGACUUUGGGUUUCAAAUUGUCUAUACAGAUGAACAAAAUGAGAAAAAUAGGCGAAAACUUGCUUCAUGGACCAUAGCCCUCCUAUGUCUGGGGGUUCUCGUACUUGCAGGUGCAGCUUCAAUUGACAGGUGUCCCAGGUCAGUCAAUUUCGAAGUCCCUCGGUAGUUUCGAAGCAACAGUGUAGAUGUUAUCCUGGUGUUCCUUUGAGAAAUGCUUUCCCCAUAAACAUAACUUUGCGAUUGCUAUCAUACACCAUAUACAUUAUGAAAAAAAAACUCCAGUUAGCAAUUUAAAUGUCUUUGAAUUCAUAAAUUAUGCUUUAUCCUUCUGUUUCCUUGUGGUGGUUGUGCAUAUGCAGCAUUUUGCGCUUCACAUUGUGCGGAAUGGGUGGAAUUCUUCUUUUGUGCAGUAUAACUGUGCUGGCUUGCAUGAAGCAAGAUGAUACAAGGCACAGUUUUGGACAUUCAGGAGGUAUGUGUAGAACUUAACAGAUUUUGAGGAAUCCGUUAAAUUCAUUCUAGAACAAAUCAUAUUUGUUUUGUAACUAGCUCCAAUUCAGAAAUUCAAUCUCUGGUAGUUAAUAAUUAGCAAAGUUGCAAGAAUCAACAAAAGAAUGAGUAAAUAUUUUUAGAAUAAAUACUCAUGCCAAUCCCUCAUGUUUUUCUAUCUUAUCAGUUUAGUCUCAAAAAUUGAAAAAACUCAAAAUGAUUCCAAAAAUAUCAGAUGGAGGUUAAAUUAGUCAUUUUUAGCAUAUUUUUAUAACACCCGAUAGAGAUUAAUUUAACCUUAGAAAUGUAUAAUUUGACUCACAUUUGAAAUUUUUGGAGACUAUUUUGGGUUUUUGUCAAUUUUUGAGAGACCAAAUCGGUAAGGUCGAAAAAACAUGAAGGAUUUAAAUGGGUAUUUACUCCUAUUUUUAUUAAAUUUAUUAUCUUGGCAAACUUCUGGUUUACCUAGUGUAUCAUAAUCUUUUAACAACUAGUUCAUUGUAUCUCUUUUCCUAAUUCCAAAUAAAAAGCUUUCAAGCUUUGGUUAAAUUUUACACUAAGGUUUUAAUACCUUGUAUUUCAGGUUUUGUUUGCCCAUUUGUUCCAUUCUUACCAGCUGCGUGCAUUCUUCUAAACACCUACUUACUAAUUGGUCUUGGGUGAGGAAUCUCUACAACUACUAUAACAUGGUUGAAAACCAUGAAUAGUUAAAUACCAGAAUCUAAUCAUUCUUGUGUUUGAAUUUUAGAAUGGCGACAUGGCUACGAGUUUCGGCGUGGUUGUUGAUCGGAGUACUUGUAUACUUGUUCUAUGGCCGCACUCACAGCUCACUCUUAAAUGCAAUUUAUGUUCCUUCAGCAUGCACCAAUGAGAUCCAUCGCUCUAGAGCACAUCAUCUACUCUAGUAUUUAUACAGCAGGCACUGUGUAUAUCACUUUGCAGCAACCUAUCAUUUUUUGUUACUGAAUUUUAAUCUUUCAUAACUUAUACCAUUUUGAAAAUAUCCUCUUGAAAAGCCAAGACUUUGUCUCUGAUAUCAGAUCAUGAAUCAUGGAUGAAAAUGAUUCAUAGUCUAUUGUUUGUAAUGUCCAAAUAUAGGGUAAAUUUUCAUGUGAAGAUAGUACUUUUACUGAAUUGGAGGUUACAAGAUUUCUUUUAUGUAUGAUUCCAGCUUUUUCUCUUUUCAUUUGAUAAGAUUAACUCAUCAUGUUUGGUUUAUUUUUUAGUAGGUUUACAACUCAAUUAUUCAUUUAGUUGUUUUAUUUUUGCUUUUCCAUCAAAUUUGAUUAUCUCUUCUAGUCACCUAAAAAGUUUGAUUAGCUAAAGAGUGAACUUCCGGAUAACGGUAAGGUUGUUGCUUAAUGAUAUGAUUACUGAUCAAAAUCUGAUAAAUAACAUAUCCACUUGCAAUGAUAAAAUUAUGUAUAUAUAUCAUCAUCCGCCAAAUAGAAGCAUCAUGAACUUAGUCAUUCUUUAUUUGAUUUGAUUGGUUAGGUAACUAGAUCAAACCAAAGCAGAACAUUUUGUCAAAUAAAGAACAUAUUAUGAAUUGUUUACAUGUGUAAUUUACACUAUUUAUCUUUUAUUUUGUUUAAUUUAUAGUUUACUCAUGUAAAGCUUUUGAUAAGGAAUGGAAUAGGAAAAGGGGAUGGAGUAUCUCCUGGUAUGAGGAGAUAAGUUGUUUCCUCUUGCCAGUGAAAUCAUGACAUGUGUCAUGUUUCAUCAUUUUUUAUAAAAACAUUUUUAAAAAUAAACAAAAUAGAACACAUGUCACAUUUUUACUGGCUGAAGGAGAUAAGUUAUCUCCUCAAUGAGGAGAUACAUUAUUCUUAUAUGAAAAUUUUAUAGAUGACAAUGUUUGAACUUAGAUACUAAUACGUUUUGUCUCCUAACUUUGCCAAUUAGGCUAACUAUUGGACUAUUUAACUUUAAUGGUGUAAUAAUUUGAUAAAUCAACUCUCAAUUAUAAAAGAUUAAAACUAAUGGUUAUAGGUUGGAAUUAAAUACAUUGGGAACUAUUUUUUUUUAAAAGUUAACUAAAAUAUAUCACAUAAGCAUUAAGCAGUAAGCUAAACACAGCAAAAACACAUAUAAACUGUCGUAACAAUAUGAAUAUUGAUGUUUCUAAUCUUGUUAUCAAAAGAAUCAAACUUUUCUUCAUUGUUCUGGUUACUACCUUGUUGGUGUUGUAGGCUAAAAUUGAAGAAAUUUAUAUGUUUAUAUCUAAAAAAUAGACCGAUCCAAACCGGACUGAAACCGCAUAUAAUAUUUGGUCCGGAUUGGACCGGACAUCUUAAUAUAAAUGGACCGGACCGGACCGGACCGCAUACUAAUUACGCGUUUGGAUCGAAUGAUUUUUGCUUCAAAACUGAUCCAAAUGGACCACGAACGCCCCUAGUAGAGAAUAAGAUAUUACGGCCCAAUUGCAAUUCCUAAUUACCGUAAGUGCAAUUUAAAACACGGACAUAAUAUUUAAUUUUUGGUUCAAUAUCCCCUUAGACCACUGACCCUGCAAUUUCAUAUAGGAUUUAGCAUGAAGAGAAGAACAAAUCCCAAAUAACAAUAAAAUCCUUGAACAAAUGCACUAGAAUUAACAUUUAUGAGUCCUCCAUAAGCACAAUUGAUCCAUCUAUGUUCAGUUUAAGGACCUCACGGUAGGAAUUCCAACUUUUUUACGCUUUCCACUUUGACAAAGCUGGGUCCCGUUAGUUCAGUCUACUUUGUAUCUUAUCUUUAAAAAGUAUACACUUAUCAAGAUUUUGCUAAUUCAAUAAUUUUCGUAUUGACCAUAUAUUGAUUCAUUAUCUAAAUUGAACCUAAUUUCUACAUAUCCCCACUUAAAAUAUAAAACCAUAUUCUUCUAUGGUUCCCACAAGCUUCCCAGAUACAUUUAAUUUUUUGAAAAUCAACUUCCUCGGAUACCAUUACCACCAUCUUGUACUUAUAAUCCUUCUACAGGGAAAAGAUUUUCCCUAGAAGAAGGGAGUUAUUAUUUUUGCCUUUUAUAUGUAAGAGUAAAAGUGUUAUUACAUUACAUUUAAAAAAUAAAAAUAUUAUAUUAUGAUAUUUUUUACUUUUUUUAUUUACUUUUCUAUUUAGUACUGAAGAAGAUCAGAGAUCCUGAUUCUCUACAAGGUGGGUUUCGUGUCCUCCUAAAAAAUCCAAGAUGAUAAUGGUAGCCCUAAAGUUGAGAGCCUGUGCAAUACAGCCCAAAACAUUCCAUGAUCAUAGAUGGAGCCUUUGGUGGGUUAUAUUACUUAUAUAUGGAUAGAGAUAUGACCUUAUGUUAAAGUCAUAGCAAAAUAUUUAAAUAAAAAUUUCAUGGUUUCAAUAUUUUGCUUUGUUCUAGAUGCUUGGCUAUGUCCAGCAUUGAAUUAAUAUUAUUGAUUUGGGGUGUCUUUUUUUAUGAUGAUAUAUUAUCUUUAUGUGUUGCUUAAAAAUAAAGUUUCACAUGUAUUACUCUGACGAAUCCUGAAGCAUCACAAUAUAUAGUCCAAAUCUUACUCAGGGAAUGAAACAUGUCAGACUAUCUAAUAUAGGUCUAUUAUCUGACCUAUAACAAAUUAUGUUAAACCAGACUUUUUUCAUGAACAUGUUAGACUUAUAUUUUUAAAAAAACAUAUUUAGUUUAACAAAUCAAACUUUAUACCAUCUAAAAGGUCUAUUAAGCAUAAGAGACUGAUCUAUUUAGUUAUAUUACAUAAUAAUAGAUAUACAUCACUGUUAGAUGAUUAUAAUCAUACAUCAAAUUUUUAUUGUCAUUGCUUUGGGAACAUACAGGUUAGUGUGGGAACAUUGCUGGCAUUUAUCACUGUUGCAGUUUCGGUUUUGAUAAUCAGAUAUGUCCCACCUGAUGAGGUACCUAUUCCAUCUUCACUUCAAACAUCUGUUGAUCGGUUAGCGAGGCAUUCCGGUGGUGGUAUU